UCUUCCAUAUUUUCAUUGAGUUUUUUUUAUCAUCUUUCUUUUCCUCAAAAUUGAAGUUCGACAAUCAAAUUUAGGUGUGUGAAUAUAUCAAAUUUGAUCUAGGUGUGUGAAAAUUUGCUUCUUUUCCAUGUUAUUGAUGUCCAAUUUUCCUUGUGUUUUGGAAGUCCCAAUAAUUUUCAUCUGUAUGCGUUCAAUUUUGGCUGGGUGAUUAUGAUUUUCGUGUUUUAUUUUGGAUUUCUGUUUCAGAUUUUUUGUUGUGUUUUUGUCACAUACAGUAAUUAAUUUGGGCUUUGAAUUUUCUUUCUCAGAGUUCUUUUGAACUUCCUCCGUUCAUGUAUGGGGUUUUCAUCGAAAUCAAUUUGUUGGGUUCUUGUGUGUUUGGCUUCGAGUUUCUUCCCCUUAUUGAAUUGACGUUUUUGCUUCAUAGGUUUGAGGGUAUUUUAGUCUUUUUAGUACUCCAUUUUGGCUACGUGUCCUGUUGUUGUGCUUUCAGUGUAUACAUCAAUGCGGACUACGGUUUAUGCACACCAAAAGUUCUCCUUUCUCCAGCAAUCUGUUGAGUGUGAAAAUUUAAAGAUCUGCAACUACUUAUGCCAGAAUUUGAACUAUCGAUGUGUCUUCUUAGCAAAUUCAAGGAUCUGGAACUACUUAUACGAAUUUGAACACAGCAGAUGCAGCAUUUUGCUUUGGAAGUUCAUUUGAUGAUUGAGGGGACAGACCAUUGUUUUCUUCUUCAACAGUAUCAGCAGAUUGAGCAUGGAUCAUGCCAUUGUUUUCUUCUUCCUUAAUACUCUCGUUGGACAUCACGUUCACAGAGACUAAUGGAGCAGUGUCUACCGUCAUCUCAGGAUGCAGAUGAACUCAUUGUGCCUUUUCACGCCAGUAGUAGAGCAAUUUGAGAAGUAGUGAAAGUGUGAAGUUAAGGAUAUACAACUACUCUACGAGAAUGUCAUCUACGGCUCUGAAAGCAAGGAGUAUUGCAUCGACACCAGUACGCACUAUCAGAUCAGCCCCUUCCUUUCUCUCGCAACCAAAGCGGGAGCAGGGAAGGUUGUCAAUGAACUCUCUGGAUUUUUUAUUUUUCUAUCUUGUGUGCAAAGAUAUAGGGUAUGACCUGCAACUGGAUAUUAUAAAAAGAUUUCAUCCUUUGGUAAUCAAAUUGUAAAAAUAUUAGUUUUUAGACAUCAGUGACUCUAUUUGCUAUCAUCUUGCACAAUCAAUGAGCUAUCACAACUUAAAAGUUUCAGUUUUGAUCUAAUGGAGUGUCAUUUAUUCAUAUA